CCUACGGGGUGCAGCAGUGGGGAAUAUUGCACAAUGGGGGAAACCCUGAUUCAGCCAUGCCGCGUGUGUGAAGAAGGCCUUCGGGUUGUAAAGCACUUUCAGUAGGGAGGAAGGUAGUGUAGUUAACACCUACAUUAUUUGACGUUACCUACAGAAGAAGCACCGGCUAACUCCGUGCCAGCAGCCGCGGUAAUACGGAGGGUGCGAGCGUUAAUCGGAAUUACUGGGCGUAAAGCGCAUGCAGGCGGCCUGUUAAGUCAGAUGUGAAAGCCCGGGGCUUAACCUCGGAAUUGCAUUUGAAACUGGCAGGCUAGAGUCUUGUAGAGGGGGGUAGAAUUUCAGGUGUAGCGGUGAAAUGCGUAGAGAUCUGAAGGAAUACCAGUGGCGAAGGCGGCCCCCUGGACAAAGACUGACGCUCAGAUGCGAAAGCGUGGGGAGCAAACAGGAUUAGAUACCCGUGUAGUC
rnacentral:rRNA from 1 species